rnacentral:piRNA from 2 species
UGACAAUGAGACCUGUAACAUUUG